GGUUGUGCUGAACACGUGACUCUGAAGCCACGUCCACUCCUCUCUGUCAUAGAAUCAGAAGAAUAAGUUACGGUCAACAGCAUACGCGUUCAUUUUUUAGAUUUUCAAUUCAAAUCUCACAAUCUAACAUUUUAUUUGAAUGCCGUGGAGAGGGUGUGGUUGAUGGCUGGUUUAAGCAGCCUCAGGUGGCUUAAAUCAGGUUGAUUGUAUUCUGGAGCUGGGUGAGGCAGAACACCUUGGGUGCACUUGAUAAUCAUUGCACACAGGUUAAACCAGCCAUCACCACACACACUUGAUAGAGCUAGACCUAGCUGGAGUGUGAAAGUCACAGUAUAGCAGGGACGACUGACGCAAAUACAAAAUGUUGCAAAUCUGAGCUGUUGGAGAUGAAGGCUGGGCAGCCUCUGGGGAACCAGGACUCUGAUCUGGUCCACGGAGCUGCAGAGCUUCAGGAUGCCCACGUAGAGACCCGCCUGAGGCCGCUGGAGACUGUGUCUGUGGUGUACGACUCUAUGUACCUGUAGCUGGGCGACGGCUCGGAGGAUGUUGUUGCGGUUCUGGAUGAGGGAGGAGGGGGAGGAGUGGGCGGAGGACAGGGCCGCCUGGAGCCAGGGCACCUGCCUCCAUGCACACGACAGCUGGGGAACACCAACCACAUGGAGGCGGACGAACUUGGUGGCGGACUGGAAGAGCUGCUUGAUGCCCCGGGACACUGACCGGCGCUUGCUGGGACCCUCUGGCGUAGAACUCUCUGGAGGAGAGAAGACAGCAUUACCUAGCAACCGCAUCAGCAACACCAUCACACGGCUGCUUCCAAAGGAGUGCAGCGUGACCUAGCAACCGCUUCAGCAUCAACUCAAGGCUGCUUCCCGAGAAUCACAGAACGCGC